rnacentral:rRNA from 1 species
CCCGGGCCUUGUACACACCGCCCGUCACACCAUGGGAGUGGGUUGUACCAGAAGUAGGUAGAAUAACCGCAAGGGGUUCGCUUACCACGGUAUGGUUCAUGACGUGGGGUG